rnacentral:rRNA from 1 species
UGGCGGCGUGCUUAACACAUGCAAGUCGAACGAUGAACCACUUCGGUGGGGAUUAGUGGCGAACGGGUGAGUAACACGUGGGCAAUCUGCCCUUCACUCUGGGACAAGCCCUGGAAACGGGGUCUAAUACCGGAUAUCACUCUCGCAGGCAUCUGUGAGGGUCGAAAGCUCCGGCGGUGAAGGAUGAGCCCGCGGCCUAUCAGCUUGUUGGUGAGGUAAUGGCUCACCAAGGCGACGACGGGUAGCCGGCCUGAGAGGGCGACCGGCCACACUGGGACUGAGACACGGCCCAGACUCCUACGGGAGGCAGCAGUGGGGAAUAUUGCACAAUGGGCGAAAGCCUGAUGCAGCGACGCCGCGUGAGGGAUGACGGCCUUCGGGUUGUAAACCUCUUUCAGCAGGGAAGAAGCGAAAGUGACGGUACCUGCAGAAGAAGCGCCGGCUAACUACGUGCCAGCAGCCGCGGUAAUACGUAGGGCGCAAGCGUUGUCCGGAAUUAUUGGGCGUAAAGAGCUCGUAGGCGGCUUGUCACGUCGGGUGUGAAAGCCCGGGGCUUAACCCCGGGUCUGCAUUCGAUACGGGCUAGCUAGAGUGUGGUAGGGGAGAUCGGAAUUCCUGGUGUAGCGGUGAAAUGCGCAGAUAUCAGGAGGAACACCGGUGGCGAAGGCGGAUCUCUGGGCCAUUACUGACGCUGAGGAGCGAAAGCGUGGGGAGCGAACAGGAUUAGAUACCCUGGUAGUCCACGCCGUAAACGGUGGGAACUAGGUGUUGGCGACAUUCCACGUCGUCGGUGCCGCAGCUAACGCAUUAAGUUCCCCGCCUGGGGAG